GAUGAAGAACGCAGCGAAAUGCGAUACUUGGUGUGAAUUGCAGAAUCCCGUGAACCAUCGAGUCUUUGAACGCAAGUUGCGCCCGAAGCCAUUAGGCCGAGGGCACGCCUGCCUGGGCGUCACACGUCGUUGCCCCCCCAUCUACUCCUUCGGGAUUGCGGGGGGCGGAUGAUGGCCUCCCGUGCGCCUCGUCGCGCGGUUGGCAUAAAUGCCAAGUCCUCGGCGACGCACGCCACGACAAUCGGUGGUUGCGAAACCUCGGUUGCCCGUCGUGUGCGGUCGUCGCGCAUCGAGGGCUCGAAAAAAUUGCCGGGCUCCGGCUCGGCUUUCAACGCGACCCCAGGUCAGGCGGGGUUACCCGCUGAAUUUAAGUAUAUCAAUAAGCGGAGGA
rnacentral:misc_RNA from 1 species